rnacentral:rRNA from 1 species
GACGAACGCUGGCGGCGUGCUUAACACAUGCAAGUCGAACGGACAGGCGCUGCGUUUGUUGCUUGCUCGUUUGGCGAACGCGUGAGUAACACGUGAGUAACCUGUCCUUGUCUUUCGGAGAACUUCAGGAGACUGGGGCUAAUACCGCGUAUGAUCUCCUGCUGCAUGUUGGUGGUUGGAGAGUUUCGGCGGUUUGGUAUCGUCUCGCUGCUUAUCAGCUUGUUGGUGUGGUAGUCGCUUACCAAGGGUGUGACGGGUAGGCGGCCUGAGAGGGUGACCAGGGACAAUGGGACUGAGAGACGGAGCAGACUCCUACGUGAGGCAGUAGUGGGGAAUAUUGCAGAAUGGGGGGAAGCGUGAUGCAGCAAUGCCGCGUGCGGGAUGACGGCCUUUGGGUUGUGAACAGAUUUGGCAGGUGACGAAGCGUGAGUGACGGUAAUGGGUAAAGAAGCAACGGCUAACUACGUG